UUUGCGUAAUAAAGAAGAACAGAGUUAUGCGCAUGCGUGCCGCUAAUCCACUUUCGGCGGCUCGAAUACUACGCCAUGUUAGUUCGUAGACGACAACGAGCUCCACGAAUUGCACGUCGUUCUCUUAAUUACAGGUACUUACAUAUAUCAAAAUGGUGAACUUUCGAAAAGUAAGAGGACAAGAUGGCACAGAAGAGGGAUAGAGAAUAAUGUACCAGACAAUGAGAUAAGUCGUACGUUGGAGAGCCGUGCUGUGAUAACGAACGACAACGACGACAACGACGAAGAAGACGACAACGCAUCGUUUUCUCCCGGCGUGGUUUACGAUCGAAUUUCACUUUCUUCCCCGACGUCGAGUCCCGCGAGUUGGCAUUAGAGAAGAUGCGGCACGUCGGCGAAUAUUAUAUCGUGGUUUCUAAAUCAUCACUCGUGAAUGGGAAAGAAGAGAGUGCGCGCUUCUAAUCUCUUUGAGAAAAUAUUAUAAUUAACUUAUGUACAUCCUCCUCCUCCUCCUCUUUCUCCUUCUAUACCCGACAAAUUUUGAUAACCUAACUCAAUUAACUUAAUCAAUUAUUUACGCGUAUAUAUAUAUGUAUGUAUAUAUAUAUACAUAUAGACAUACAAGCGUACAAAUAGCGCACAUAUACAUAAAUAUAAAUAUAAAUAUAUAUAUAUAUAUAUAUAUAUAUAUGAUAUGUAUAUAUAUGUAUAUAUAUAUAACGUUGAAGAGUUUUGAAAAAGGAAGAAAACUUAUAUCUCUAAUACAAGAACUCGUUUCACGAAGGAGGAAUACACGAUGGUAAGGGAGCACAACCUACAGAGUGGAAGGUAAAAAGAAGAAGAAGAAGAGAGAGAGAGAGAGAGAGAGAGAGAAAGAGGAGGACGUGGAUAUCGCGACGUACGAAAAUGAAUGUUCGGAAAGGCAUGGGGACGAAAAACUGGUUGCACCACCUACACGAACGAUAGCGGACCCUUACGAGGGUUAAAGGUUAGGCCCCUCGUGACGCAGUAAUCGUAAUUUUCUUCGUCCGAGACCGAAUGCCAAUGAAAAGCGGGUUAUUAAUAAAUCCGUGCGAUCGCUAGUGCACACACUUUGUAGUAGUUUAGUAAGAAGGUAGACGGGGCGCGGUGCGGUGCAGUGGCGAGGAGUAAAGAAGGAAUGACGAAGGGAUGGGGUAGUUGCUGCGUAAGAAGAAACGCAUAUAUCCGUAUACACGCAUGCGGAUACACGUGUAUGCGAGAGAAGGAUGGGUUGUAGCUACCACUUCGUUUGUCGAAGAAGAAGAAGAAGAAAAAAUUAAACAAAAAGAAAAAACGAAGAAGAAAGAGAGGAGAAAAAAAUAAGAGAAGAUCACAUCGAUAAUAUGGGCAGGGAACAUACUCUCUUAAUACUUUCUCCCUCAUUUAACUUCCCAACCCUUACUUAAUUCCUUUCCAUUGUCGUCUUCGUGUUUGAUCCUCAAGAAGUACAGGUGAUAUCUUUCUUUCUCGGAUUCACUCGAACACCUCCCCUCCACCCAGCCGUACUUUUUCUCAUUGCUUAGCGAGUCGUAUCUUUCGAGCAUGUCGAGCACUUAAUUCUGCCGUCUCCUAACUCUUGGAUUAAAAGGGGACACCAGCGGCGGAGGUAGUCAAGUAUGUAUCGUAUGUAUGUAUGUAUGUAUGUAUGUAUGUAUACAAGACACGACUACCAUACGAAUUCUCAUCUCUCUCCCUCUUUUUCUUCGAUGAACCACCAUUCGCGAGGAGUUAUAUUAUUCCUCCCGAGUAAGUUCAAGAGAUAUUUUUGAGACAGAAUGAAAGAGAAAGAAAGAGAGAGAAUCUCUCUUCGUAUUUCUAGGGAGUAUAUUAUACACGCAUGUAGACGGAAGAUAUAGCAAAAUCGAAGAAUUUUCGUAGGGAGGAAGAAGCUCGAUAUUGUUCGGGGGAUGAAGGAAGAGAUAACCAUGGAGAAGGAGAGUGAGAAUCUUCUUCGAUUCUUUUUUUCUCUCUCUUCCUCUCUCUCUCUCUCUCUCUCUCUCUCUCUCCUUAUCUCUUUUUCUCUUUUCCUCUCAAUAUCUUCUUUCUUUAUUUCUUACUCGUUUGGUCCGAAGUCUUUGGGUCGAGAAGAAGCAGUAUCCUGGAUACAACAGCAUCUGGAUACUUCCUUGGCGAGUUUGAGUUUGGUAUCUGAGCGUAGAUCGGAAUUCAGGUACACGGUAGCACUACCUCGAGGCGCACAGCUCGUGAACACCACCUCCAUGGCUAGUAGGAUCGCGAAGACUCAAGAAGAAGAACGAAGAGGACGAAGGAGGAAAGAGAAGGAGGUAAAGGAGGAGGAGGAGGAGGAGAAGGAACAGAGAAGAGUGAAGAGAGGAAUAAAGGGAAAGAGAGAGGAGAAAGAAAGAAGUCGACUGCGAGAACGGCUGCCGUUGCUGCGAUUUCAGAGCCGGCGGCAAUCUCUCUCUCUCUCUCUCUCUCUCUCUCUCUCUCUCUCUCUCCUUCUCUUUCUAGCUCCAUGGUGAUCUACCGUCCCGAGCCAAGCCCCUCAUUAACGCCUUUGCUAAGAAAUUACACGCAGUCGGUGGCAAACAAGAGCAAGAAGGUGUCGGCCGCGCUCGUUCGACUACACGAGAGACCCGUGCUAUUUCUCUCUCUCUCUCUCUCUCUCUCUCUCUCUCUCUACCUACCUCUCUCUAUCUAUCUUUCUCGUUGGUACGUUCGUUUCUUCUUGCUAUGCUUCGCCUUCAUCGUACCUUCUCCUUCUUCACCUUCUCUUUCUUUUUCUUUCUAUUUCUCUCUCUUUCUCUUUCUCUCUUUCUUGUCCUUUCUUCUCUCCGUGAAGCGUGCGAAACUGCAAAGGCAAUUCGAUCGAGAUUCUGGCCCAGAUAGCGCGACCAACUCUCUCGAUUCCUUUGACUCUCUUUCUCUCUCUCUCUCUCUCUCUCUCUCUCUCUCUCUCUCGACUUUAUUCUCCUUCUUACCGUACCCUUUCCAAGUUACCCCUUUUUUCCAUUCACUUGAUUUUCAUUCUUAUUUCGUGAAGAACAAUAGAUAUUUCAGACAGCGUGGAAAGGUUAAUUACUUUGGAAGAAAAUGUUAUACCAUUUGGUUAAUUAUUAUAUUUAAUUAAUUAAUUAAAAUUAUGCAAUUGAUAUUGUGGUAACAUUGAAUUGGAUAAAUCUUUUCUUUAUGAAUCUUUAACGAAUAAAAAAUUAUCCUUAAAUAGGUAGACAAUUAUUAUCUAGGUAAGCAGAUAAUCUACUUACCUUUAUCGUCUAUGAUAAAUUCUUGCUCUAGAAUAAGAAAUGACACGCGCGGCAUUGUUGCCUACGUAUGUUUCCUUUUUUCUUUAUGUUUUUAUUGUUGUUGUUGUUGUUUUUUCUUUUUUUUUCUUUUUUUUUCUUUUUUUUUUUUUUUUUUUUCGAAGAGAACACAUAGACCUCGUAAAAGCAGAUCGUAAGAAGAGAACAGAAGAAAGGAGUCCGACCAAACCGUAUUCCGGCUACGUCAAGUCAGUCCACGAAGAGACGUAAUCUUAUUAAACGGCUAUUAGCUGCUCGCCGAGGCUUGUCAACAUUUAGACAUCUGGCAGACACGAGAACACAUUCUCUUCUU